AUUCAUGGGAACACGGGUUUUUUUCACUUGGACAAUUGAAGCUAGGCAAAUGGUCAGCUAGUUGUAGUUUGUUAUUGUAUUAGUGAUUCAGAAUAUGAAGUAAUUUCUCAUGAGAUUGAGCUGUUUGUAUCUAUAACAGAUGAAGACGUGUAUUCUAGGAUUAUACAAAAAGAAGCUUGCAUUGCAUUAGUUGGAUUUACCUGCGUGCCUAGAGAUGUUAAUCAUUUUUAGUACCCGCAGGUAAUCGAGGAAUCCUACUUUAAGACAUCUUAAAUCUCCAACACAAUGGCUUAAUUUACGCAAAUUCUUAUGAAGCGGGAGUGAAUGAGUUAACGUGGACCGCCGGUCCAAUUCUUACCCAGACCCGAACCGUUAAUUUUAUAAAGAGUGGAGCUAUUGUCGCGCCUCUAAUUCCCUUAAAAAACCGCUUUCUUGCCGCACUCCCGAAAUUAAAAUGAACCGGCAAACCAAUUUUACCACCCAAUUUGAUUCCAAAACUAACCCUAUUCUUCUUUUUCUCUAAAUAAACUUUCUCUCUUGCUUUAAUUUGCCUUUUGUGAAGUUUGAAACCUUAACAAAAGAAAAAGAAUUUUUUUUCCCUUCUCUUUUUAUUGAUUUCUUAUGCUUGUGAACAAGCCUCAAUUUUCAAUUAUAAUUUUAAAAGAAAAAUUAGAAGAGAGAGAUUUAGAUUGAAAACUAGAAGUUGCAACAUAACUUUUUUAAGUACAGAAGAAGAAACUUAUGCUACAAUCAAGUAGUAAAUACCAGGCACUAGUAACAACAGGUAUAAUCGAGAGCUGCUUUUCGUUUAUGACGAGUCUAAUCUUCUCAUUAUUAAUAAAAACUUGAAGAUAAUUUGUGAAAAAAAAAAGUGAAUUUAUUUAUUCUUCGGUAUAGUAAUAAGAUUAACAAAGUUGAUGUUAUAGCCCAAUUACGAAAGUGAGGUUGAAGAGAAGAGAAUUUAAAAUUUUAUUAAAAAAGAAAAAUAAAAGAAAACGGAUUAGGGUAAUUUUAAAAUUAGUGUGUGGUUUUUGAAAAGUGACGCAUAAAAAAAAAUUGAAGUGGUGCACUUAGUAUCGGGGUUUUUUUCAGGAAGUUAGACGGGUGCCAAUCACUCCACUGUAUUUAAAAAAAAAAAAAAAAAAAAAAAAAACCACUUGGACAAUUGAAGCUAGGCAAAUGGUCAGCUAGUUGUAGUUUGUUAUUGUAUUAGUGAUUCAGAAUAUGAAGUAAUUUCUCAUGAGAUUGAGCUGUUUGUAUCUAUAACAGAUGAAGACGUGUAUUCUAGGAUUAUACAAAAAGAAGCUUGCAUUGCAUUAGUUGGAUUUACCUGCGUGCCUAGAGAUGUUAAUCAUUUUUAGUACCCGCAGGUAAUCGAGGAAUCCUACUUUAAGACAUCUUAAAUCUCCAACACAAUGGCUUAAUUUACGCAAAUUCUUAUGAAGCGGGAGUGAAUGAGUUAACGUGGACCGCCGGUCCAAUUCUUACCCAGACCCGAACCGUUAAUUUUAUAAAGAGUGGAGCUAUUGUCGCGCCUCUAAUUCCCUUAAAAAACCGCUUUCUUGCCGCACUCCCGAAAUUAAAAUGAACCGGCAAACCAAUUUUACCACCCAAUUUGAUUCCAAAACUAACCCUAUUCUUCUUUUUCUCUAAAUAAACUUUCUC
rnacentral:lncRNA from 1 species